CAACGUUUUAAGGAAGAGCGGGACAAAACUCCUCCACAAUGAUGUGAGAGACUAAUAAAGUCAUACAGAAAAUGAUUACUUCAGUUUAUUGCUGCUAAAGGUAGUUCUACAAACUAUUGAAUCAUAAGGUGUCAGUAUUUAGAACAGACCAUCCAAGGAACUGUGUGAGCAUCUGAAUGAAUGGAAAGAAACAGAAGAUUUUAGCUCUGAUGGUGUGAUUUCUGAGAUCUGCAACU